GAGCCAUCUCAAUAGCCAGAAAAGAAUGUGGCACCAAGUGAAACUUAAGCACAAAAUAUUUUCCAGAGAGUGAGUGGCGACACUUUAUGUCCGCUAGAUCCCCCGACUCAUUAUGCCCAAGGCUUACCUGACAUGUGGAGAUGGUGUAAGCCACGGGCCAUUGAUGAGGUGAUUAUCUGCAGUUACAGAGAUGUAAG